rnacentral:lncRNA from 1 species
GUGAAGAAAAACAACUUCCCAAAUUCCGGAAAUUGCUUUCUUAGAGUAGAGAAUUAUGCUUCACUAGCCCAAGACUCACAACCACAAUUGAAGAAGAAUGAAGAAGAAAAUAUAGCUCCAAAAAUACUAGAACUAAGAAAGUGGAAGACUUACUUGUAUAACUUGGAGAAUAUUUUAUUAACUCAAGAAGAUUUGCAUUUUGUUGGAUGAUGCAAAUGUGGAGGAGAGAGUGGGUAUAUAUAGGCUUUCCACCUCCUCAAUGGACGGUCAGGAUCUAUUUAAUCCUACGGUGUAGAUUCGUCUUCUAGAAUACUCCACACUUUUCUUACAAAAUAUCUAGAUAUUUUUAUCACCUACACUAAUCUAGAAAUAUCUCUUACAAAUAUCUCCUANNNN